rnacentral:rRNA from 1 species
CCCGCUGAACUUAAGCAUAUCAAUAAGCGGAGGAAAAGAAACUAACAAGGAUUCCCCUAGUAACUGCGAGUGAAGCGGGAAAAGCUCAAAUUUAAAAUCUGGUGGUCUUUGGCCAUCCGAGUUGUAAUUUAGAGAAGCGUCUUCCGCGCUGGACCAUGCAUAAGUCUCCUGGAAUGGAGCGUCAUAGAGGGUGAGAAUCCCGUCUUUGGCAUGGACCCCCAGGGCUUCUGUGAUGCGCUCUCAAAGAGUCGAGUUGUUUGGGAAUGCAGCUCAAAAUGGGUGGUGAACUCCAUCUAAAGCUAAAUAUUGGCGAGAGACCGAUAGCGAACAAGUACCGUGAGGGAAAGAUGAAAAGCACUUUGGAAAGAGAGUGAAACAGUACGUGAAAUUGUUGAAAGGGAAACGCUUAAAGUCAGUCGCGUCGACCGAGACUCAGCCUCGCCUCGGCUUGGUGUACUUCUCGGCCGACGGGUCAGCAUCAAUUUUGAUCCUUGGAUAAUGGCAAGGGAAAGGUAGCACCUUUACAGGUGUGUUAUAGUCCUCUGUCGCAUGCAAGGGUCGGGAUUGAGGAACUCAGCACGCACCUCGUCGGUGUCGGGGCCUUUUGGCCUACGUUACGUGCUUAGGAUGCUGGCAUAAUGGUUGUAAGCGACCCGUCUUGAAACACGG